rnacentral:rRNA from 1 species
GCUGGCGGCAGGCCUACACAUGCAAGUCGAACGGCAGCACAGAGGAGCUUGCUCCUUGGGUGGCGAGUGGCGGACGGGUGAGGAAUACAUCGGAAUCUGCCUAUUUGUGGGGGAUAACGUAGGGAAACUUACGCUAAUACCGCAUACGACCUACGGGUGAAAGCGGAGGACCUUCGGGCUUCGCGCAGAUAGAUGAGCCGAUGUCGGAUUAGCUAGUUGGCGGGGUAAAGGCCCACCAAGGCGACGAUCCGUAGCUGGUCUGAGAGGAUGAUCAGCCACACUGGAACUGAGACACGGUCCAGACUCCUACGGGAGGCAGCAGUGGGGAAUAUUGGACAAUGGGCGCAAGCCUGAUCCAGCCAUGCCGCGUGGGUGAAGAAGGCCUUCGGGUUGUAAAGCCCUUUUGUUGGGAAAGAAAAGCAGCCGGUUAAUACCCGGUUGUUCUGACGGUACCCAAAGAAUAAGCACCGGCUAACUUCGUGCCAGCAGCCGCGGUAAUACGAAGGGUGCAAGCGUUACUCGGAAUUACUGGGCGUAAAGCGUGCGUAGGUGGUUUGUUAAGUCUGAUGUGAAAGCCCUGGGCUCAACCUGGGAAUUGCAUUGGAUACUGGCAGGCUAGAGUGCGGUAGAGGGUAGUGGAAUUCCCGGUGUAGCAGUGAAAUGCGUAGAGAUCGGGAGGAACAUCCGUGGCGAAGGCGACUACCUGGACCAGCACUGACACUGAGGCACGAAAGCGUGGGGAGCAAACAGGAUUAGAUACCCUGGUAGUCCACGCCCUAAACGAUGCGAACUGGAUGUUGGGUUCAACUAGGAACUCAGUAUCGAAGCUAACGCGUUAAGUUCGCCGCCUGGGGAGUACGGUCGCAAGACUGAAACUCAAAGGAAUUGACGGGGGCCCGCACAAGCGGUGGAGUAUGUGGUUUAAUUCGAUGCAACGCGAAGAACCUUACCUGGCCUUGACAUGCACGGAACUUUCCAGAGAUGGAUUGGUGCCUUCGGGAACCGUGACAAC